AGAGUUUGAUCCUGGCUCAGAGUGAACGCUGGCGGCGUGGAUUAGGCAUGCAAGUCGAGCGAUCCUUGCUUGAUACUUAUUGGAGUGCUUGCACAAAGAUAAGACGAUAGUGCUGGAUAGCGGCAAACGGGUGAGUAUCGCGUGAGUAACUUGCCCCGAAGACAGGAAUAGCUUCGUGAAAACGGAGGUAAUACCUGAUGUUACCAUGAAUCGGCAUCGAUUUAUGGUCAAAGGUGGGGACCGUAAGGCCUGCCGCUUUGGGAUGGACUCGCGUCCUAUCAGCUUGUUGGUAGGGUAAUGGCCUACCAAGGCAUUUGACGGGUAGCCGGCCUGAGAGGGUGACCGGCCACAUUGGGACUGAGACACUGCCCAGACUCCUACGGGAGGCUGCAGUCGAGAAUAUUUAGCAAUGGGCGAAAGCCUGACUAUGCGACGCCGCGUGAAGGAUGAAGGCUUUAGAGUUGUAAACUUCUUUUCUAAGGAGAGAACGUUCCGCUAUUAAUAGUGGCGGAAUCUGACGGUACCUUAGGAGUAAGCCACGGCCAACUCCGUGCCAGCAGCCGCGGUAAUACGGAGGUGGCGAGCGUUACUCGGAAUCACUGGGUGUAAAGGGCAAGUAGGCGGCUUAGUGAGUAAGAGGUGAAAUCCUCCGGCUCAAUCGGAGAACUGCCUUUUAAACUGCUAGACUUGAGGUUGGAAGAGGGAAAUGGAAUUCUCGGUGUAAGGGUGAAAUCUGUGGAUAUCGAGAAGAACACCAGCGGCGAAGGCGAUUUCCUGGUCCAAACCUGACGCUGAACUGCGAAAGCUAGGGGAGCAAACAGAAUUAGAUACUCUGGUAGUCCUAGCCGUAAACGAUGAGUACUAGGUGUUGGGGGCUUGUCCCUCAGUGCCGCAGCUAACGCAUUAAGUACUCCACCUGGGAACUACGGUCGCAAGGCUAAAACUCAAAGGAAUUGACGGGGACCCGCACAAGCGGUGGAACAUGUGGUUUAAUUCGAUGCUACGCGAAAAACCUCACCAAGGCUUGACAUGUAAGAAGUAGUGAACUGAAAGGGGAUCGACCCGUUAAGUCGGGAACUUACACAGGUGCUGCAUGGCUGUCGUCAGCUCGUGUCGUGAGAUGUUGGGUUAAGUCCCGCAACGAGCGCAACCAUUACCUCUUGUUGCCAUCCAUAGGAUUUGCUUGCAAAUCUUGUGGAGCACUCUAGAGGGACUGCCUGGGGUAACCAGGAGGAAGGUGGAGAUGACGUCAAGUCAGUACGGCCCUUACGCCUUGGGCUACACACGUGUUACAAUGGCUGAUACAAAGGGUUGCCAACCCGUGAGGGGGAGCUAAUCUCUAAAAAUCAGCCUCAGUUCGGAUUGGAGUCUGCAAUUCGACUCCAUGAAGCUGGAAUCGCUAGUAAUGGGAGAGCAGCUCGCUCCCGUGAAUACGUUCCCGGGUCUUGUACACACCGCCCGUCAAGCGAUGGGAGCCGGGGGUACCCGAAGUCCUGUGUAGGCAGGCCGAAGGUAAAACUGGUGACUGGCGCUAAGUCGUAACAAGGUA
rnacentral:rRNA from 1 species